rnacentral:lncRNA from 1 species
AUGGUAACAGGACUGGAUUGCUCAGUUGGCUUAAAGGAUACAUAUUUUAAAGUUGGCCGCUUGCUCUUAUCCGAGUUUGAUUGUUUUGAUUUUGCAUUUCUUCAUACUGUUCGUGUGAUGCUUUGGAUUGCCAACACAUUUCAUGUUACUUCAUAUCCAACCCUCUUACCUGUUACGAAGCCAUCUUGUAAGAACAAGGCCUUGACCAGUCUUGAUGAGUUACUGAAUCAUUAUUAUCCAAGAACUGUCAGGAACAUCAAAGAUGAAAGGAGCCCCCCUCUCCCCUGCAGGGAUGCCAGCACACCACUUCCCCUAGCACAGUUGAAGCCUAUCGGCCCUCAGCAGCAGUGGCUCCACCAAGUCUUCAGCCUGUGGUUUUGAUGGAGACAAUGAGGGCCUGUGCUCAGGAAAGGAAGUUCACUUGUAAAUCAUCACCAGCAGUGGGGUCUGCUGUAAAGAAGCUGCCUAAUGGGAACUCUGUGUUACUGGGAAUUACAUAAUUGAGCAAUCAUGAGAUAGUAUUGAAGAUCUGUGAGUCAUAGCUUAGGAAGACUGUACCUGAAAGCAGAGGAAUGACUUUGUGGUUAUUGCUUUCAUGUCUGUUAGCUUUGCUUGUAAGGAAAUAUAUUUAAAGCCCUAUGCACCAAAAGAUUACUAUUAUUUUAUUCAGCAUUUGUAAUAUUGGCAUAUGACUAUAAAAUAUAUUUUAGAAGCUCCUUUCUGUAAAGAGAUUUCUAUCCUUAAAGAUGUUACUGUCUUUUUUGAAAUGAUUUUAUGGAAGGAAAAAGGAGUGACCCUGGAAAACUGAUCAAAUAUUUAUAUGUUUUGUGUAAGCUGAAUAUUCUAAGUGAAUGCUUCAAACUCUAUCUGUAAAGUGCUUGAUCAUAAACAGGUCAGGUUUUCCUGGCCAUACUCUGUCUGUACUACUUCUAAGUUUCAUGUAGCAUACAAGCCUCCUUAGACAGUAUGCAAAUAAGUGGUCAUGGCAGAGUGCCAAUAAUACUUCCUUUGUGGAAACAGGUGGUGGACUGCAUUUGGCUUACAAGCCCAUGGCUUGUCAAUUGCUAAACCAUGAAUUAAAGGGGGUGGGAGAAAACCCCUUUAUUUGCUGCCAGAGUUUCUUUAAAUAAAAAUGAACUACUAGUCUGUCAAUAGAUUUCAAUAAAUUACUUUUGGCUGUAAUCAAUGGGAAAGUGCCAGCCAAAUAGUGAGGAUAUAUCAACAAAUAAAACUCAAUCUAUAUAAUUUAUAAAUGCUUAUAUUGCUAGUCUUACACAAAUGUCAAAGGUAUUAGCCAUGCUUUAUUAUUUUUAUUUUUAAUUUAAUAUUUAAUUAAUAGUUAAUUUAGUAUUUAUUUUUAGUUGUUGAUUAUGGAUAAUGUUCAUUACAUAAUAUAUUACAUAACUGUCAUAUAUAUAUACAUAUAUAUAUCUUACUGUCAGUCAUAUAUAAAUUGAAAAUAAUUUUAUUAAUUUGUGAUUAACUUUUGAUCUUAAAUUUAAAAUUUUUUUAGAUAUUUCUUUUCUGAAUUUGCCUUUUUCCUGAUGGUUUUCCUUUGUGGAUUUAAUGCCACAGAGAAGAAGUCACCUCUAGUUUUCAUAAGCUGGUGUUUUCUUCUAGCAUGUUUAUGGUUAUAUGUUGACUUGCUUUUCAAAUGAAGAGGAACAACAAUAAUGAUGAUGAAAGGGAAACCUGAAUAAUAGGAUAUCCAUGGAACAACAGCUUCUGAGGAAAAAGAGAGAGGAAUCUUAGAACAAGGAUGGCAGGAAGAAGCUUCCUCCCUAUGGAAGGAAAGAGAGAGAAAAGCCAACCGACCUGAAGACAAUCCUGAAAGUUGCAGCACUAAGAAUGACCUCAGCAUCAGUGAAACAUGGCAGUGCACCUGCUGGGAAGGGGAGCAGCCAAGAAUGGGUGGGGAGUCCCAGAAGAAACUAACUGUUUGUCACACCGUCUGUGCCAUACACGGCAUGAAGAUGCUCGAUUACUAAAUUUGGGUACAGGUAUUUAUGAAAACACUGCGUCAUCCUCUCAAGAAUUUAGAUGCUGAUAAUUCCUUUCAAGUAUGUCAGGUCAAAAUCAAUUGAAAUUUCUGAAGUCUUUUUUUUUUUGCAAUACAUAUAAAUAACAUAAUUAUAAAAUGAACUAUACACCCCCCCACCUUGUAUCUGUAUCCUUAGUGUAAGUAUGUUUGUGACCCUGUAAUCAAAAUUUCAUCACAAAUAGGAAAUAAAAUGAGUUCAAGAAAAUUGUCGCCAGUGUGGUCUUUCUGAUUUCUGUUUCUAUCAAAUUCAUGCUAACUUACAAUAAAGCCCAGCUAAACUUUCAGAGAAUUAAUCAUUUCAAGUAUCUUCUUUUGGUUGUUGUCCAAAAAAGUAGUAUAUCCUUAUCAUAAAAAUUCAGGGUGGUUAGAAAUGCAGGAAAAAUAAAAAUAAAUCACUUAAAAUAUACCUUAGUAUUUCAAUUGAUAUCUUUAUUUUAUAGAAUUAUUUUCUGUACAAGGUUAGGCUUUUCAUGACUGCCUUAAUUUACAGCUCAAUUUAGACUCUUAAGUAUUCUACAAAUGGGGAUUAACUUAAGAACCUUAAAUACCUGCUUAGAAAAUAAUUUCCUUUUUAUUUAAUUAUCUCUUUAUGGGAAUUUCAUAUUUCU